rnacentral:rRNA from 1 species
AUGCUAAAGCCUCAAUCGAUUUUGAUACAUAUAAGGUGUCCUACGGAUAAUGCAAAUCGAAGCUAUUUGAUGUCUGACUCAGGCGUAUAUGACCGAUCGAUCGAAAUACUCCAAGACUCCACCUUUGUCAUAUAG